rnacentral:piRNA from 1 species
UAGCCCUAUAUCAUGCUUGGUUGGGGUU